GAUGAACGCUGGCGGCGUGCUUAACACAUGCAAGUCGAACGGAAAGGCUCCUGCUUGCAGGGGUACUCGAGUGGCGAACGGGUGAGUAACACGUGGGUGAUCUGCCCUGUACUUCGGGAUAAGCUUGGGAAACUGGGUCUAAUACCGGAUAGGACAACUUUUUGGAUAUUGUUGUGGAAAGCUUUUGCGGUUUGGGAUGAGCUCGCGGCCGAUCAGCUUGUUGGUGGGGGAUUGGCCUACCAAGGCGUCGACGGGUAGCCGGCCGGAGAGGGGGUACGGCCGCAUUAGGACUGUGAGACGGCCCAGACUCCGACGUGUGGCAGCAGGGGGGAAUAUUGGACAAUGGGCGCAAGCCUGAGGCAGGGAGGCCGCGUGGGGGAUGAAGGCCUUCGGGUUGUAAACUCCUUUCGCUAGGGAAGAAGCUUUUUUGUGACGGUACCUGGAGAAGAAGCACCGGCUAACUACGUG
rnacentral:rRNA from 1 species